rnacentral:lncRNA from 1 species
CAGCACUCAGUUCACCCAGAUCUGGCCUCCAGCAGCAGGACCAGAAGCAGCAGCGAGGAGAGGCAGAAGCAGCAGCCACCUGGGCACUCCUCACCAUCACAGAAGCGGCUCCCAGAUGGCUCUGUGGGCCCAGGCCCCUCUUCCUUCCAUUCAGAAAAACACACAGCAGUUAACUGCAUCCGUGUGUGCAAUUGAGAAGGAAAAAGCAAAAACCUGGCUCCGAAGCAGUCAGAAAUAGAAGUGGGAAAAGAAGCAAGUGAUGUGCGUUCUUGAGGUCCUCCGAAGAGAUGUCUUGGAGACAACAGAAAUAAAUGACCCUGUAAAUUUUCUUUAUCCUACUGGGCACCUUGACCAGAGCACCUGGAGCUGUGGCCUUGCACAGGUGUUGGGGAGGAACUCUUCUGGAUUAAACAUGGAAAACCCACCAACCACAGAGAUGCAAGCUUCAACACUGUCUGGACUCUAGAAGAUGCUCUGAUUCAAGAGGAUGUAAAGAAAUUCUCUAAGCCGAUAAGAAAAAUAGAAGAAACCCAAAUGGGCAAUGAGUGCAUGGGAACUCACUCACCUCAGUGGAAAGGAGGGAAUGGCAAGCCAGCCCACUGAAGCCCACUGGGGACAUAGGACAAGUCUGCAAAGCAGAGACAGCCCCUCCAGGAAGAGCGACCAGGCCUUGAGAGGACAUGGCCUUAGGACCAGAUCCAGGGAAGACACAGUCACUAACCCCUGGCUCAUCUGGCAGGUGUGGGAAGCAGCCAGGCCCGUGGCUUCACCAGCUCCCCCCGAUCUCUGCCUUCAGCUGUCCUGCAGCCUGGGUCAGGCACCUAGGCAGCUUUAUGGCAGGCGGAGAUGCACCACCCACAUCCUCUUUCCAGGCAGGGCUUGCUGCCCUGGCUGUAGCGAGUGCGGCAGCAGGUGGCCUCCAGCUAUCAGCAACUUCAGAGAGCUGCCUUGCCUGAGGUCCCGUCCCUUCUGGGGAAGCUCCCAUCUGCCAGGGGGCUACAAAAGCACAGUGGACACCAUGAUGGGCAAUUCUGGCUGAUGGGAGCACCACCUGGUGGCUGAGGCAUUCUUGGGCCACAUAGCAGUUGACUGCCCUCUCCACCAUCUUUUCACAAGUGUUAAUCCCAAUAAACACCCAUCCUCUUCCAUCCCAAACUGUCUUGGCAUCUGCUUCUAGAGAGCCCAGCCUGGGGCAAAUUUCACGGGAAAGGGCGCAUCUCCUGCAAUUUGCCUGUGACCAUGAGGGUGGAGGAGGGAGAUGUGUCCCCAUGGGUUCCAGCUUGUCCUUGCUCGUCCCCUUCAUGCUCACCUGUACUUCCUGAACGUAGCCCUGCUGUGGUACAGCAUCUUCAGGCCCAC